CUUCAGGAAGCAAAACCCCUCUUGCGACAUCAACAAGGCAAAAUGUACUUUCUCCGUCACCCAUACUGAUGAAGAAAAAACAGGCUCAUGUGCCUAAGUUGGAUGCUGCGUCGACCACCAAGGAAACAUUAAUGGAUUGGGAUAAGUCUAAAGAAAAAUUGAUAAGACAACUUAACAAAGUCAAAUCAACCGUUAGGUCACUGAAGCGUAAC